AGAACGAACGCUGGCGGCAGGCCUAACACAUGCAAGUCGAGCGCCGUAGCAAUACGGAGCGGCAGACGGGAGAGUAACACGUGGGAACGUGCCCUUCAGUUCGGGACAACCCAGGGAAACUUGGGCUAAUACCGGAUACGUCCGAAAGGAGAAAGAUUUAUCGCUGAAGGAUCGGCCCGCGUCUGAUUAGCUAGUUGGUGAGGUAACGGCUCACCAAGGCUACGAUCAGUAGCUGGUCUGAGAGGAUGAUCAGCCUCACUGGGACUGAGACACGGCCCAGACUCCUACGGGAGGCAGCAGUGGGAAUAUUGGACAAUGGGCGCAAGCCUGAUCCAGCCAUGCCGCGUGGAUGAUGAAGGCCCUAGGGUUGUAAAGUCCUCGUCGGCGGGGAAGAUAAUGACGGUACCGCAGAAGAAGCCCCGGCUAACUACGUGCCAGCAGCCGC
rnacentral:rRNA from 1 species